CCACCCUGUGACCUCACGGCUGCACGUGGAUCUGUACGUGGUUUCAUCAGGGACAGAAGAAGGCCGAUAGCAGGGAAGGGCACUUCCUCACGGGCUGCAAAGCUCCACACGUUGCAGCCUUUUUGCCAUCCAGUGCUCAUCACAUGGAGGUCCUGUUGUGCUCCCACUCAGGCCAAAUAUGGUUCAAGAAGGCUGCCAACACCAGCUGGCUUUGAGAAACCUCUCUUCCCCUUCAGGAACUUGCUGCAGAGGUGCAUUGUUUAUGUCUUCCAGGGUGGGAAAGAAGCAACCAGGUUCAGUGUAUUUCAUUCUUAUCAGUAAAGACAGCCAUAUCUAGUUUGUCCUGUUGGUUAAAGUACUAUAUUAAUAGGUUCUAUUAAUAGGGUCUAGUCCAUCACUUCAGCCUACUGGGCCAUUCUCCAAACGUUGAUUGGGCACCUGUUACAAACCAAGCACUGUGGUAUCUAGAGAUAAACAAAAUAAGAUGGCUGUCCUCGAGGCACCCUGGCCAAAAUAAUGCAAUGCUCUGAGUACUCUGACUCUGAGUUUGAAGAAGCCUCCCACUGGGUGGGUGCAGUGGCUCACACCUGUAAUCCCAGCACUUUGGGAGGCUGAAAUGGGGGGUGGAUCACCUGAGGUCAGGAGUUCCUGACCAGGCUGGCAAACAUGGUGAAACCCCAUCUCUACUAAAAAUACAAAAAUUAGGCCAAGUGUGGUGGCUCACAUCUGUAAUCCCAGCACUUUGGGAGGCCAAGAUAGGUGGAUCACCUGAGGUCAGGAGUUCAUGACCAGCCUGGGCAACAUGGUGAAAUCCUGUCUGUACUAAAAUACAAAAAUUAGCUGGGUGUGGUGGUGGGUGCCUGCAAUCUCAACUACUUGGGAGGCAAGGCAGGAGAAUUGUUUGAACCCGGGAGGCCGAGGUUGUAAUGAGCAGAGAUCGCUCCAUUGUGCUCCAGCCUGGGUGACAAGAGCGAAACUUCAUCUCAGAAAAAGAAAAAGAGGAGGCCUCCCACCUGCCAUUAAGUCUUCCAAGGGGAGUCAGGGAACACUGCUUCCCAGAGACAGUGCUGACUUUUGUAUUGACUCCUGAAAGGGUAGUUUGUCAGACCAACACCUGGCAGGGAGGACAGGACACACCCCCAGGGAACGGGAAGCUUGUGUGCUGAAGGUCGAAACUUCUAGGGUGCUGAGCGAGAUGCCAAGAAUUGGCUGUAGCUAAAGCAUAAGGAAGGCAGGGGUAGCAAGAUGCAAGAAGGCCAGGGAGGCAGGAUCCGGAGCAUGGGGAAAUCAGGAAGUCUUUU
rnacentral:lncRNA from 13 species